rnacentral:miRNA from 1 species
UAGAGUGGCCAGCCAUCCUGGUUUGCCUGGGACUGAGGGAAAUUCAAGCAAACGAGAUUUUCAGUGCUAAAACCAGGACAGUC